rnacentral:rRNA from 1 species
UACGUAGGUGACAAGCGUUGUCCGAAGUUACUGGGCGUAAAGCGCGCGUAGGCGGGUUGGUAAAGUCCGCUGUGAAAGCCCGGAGCUCAACUCCGGAGGGUCGGUGGAUACUGCCAGUCUUGAAGGUGCUAGGGGGAGAUGGAAUUACCGGUGUAGCGGUGAAAUGCGUAGAUAUCGGUAGGAACACCAGUGGCGAAGGCGGUCGUCCUGGGGCGAUUCUUGACGCUGAGGCGCGAAAGCUGGGGGAGCGAACGGG